AGGAGGCAGAGACAGAUGAGCAGUCAGGUCCUUGUACUUGAAACACUCCUAGCAUGGAAAACUGCAAUGCCGAUGUUUUGUUUUCCAGAAAUUAAAGCUGAUUCCUCGGGGGAAAGGUGUCAUCUAAAGAUGCAGGGAAAUUUAUCUGUGGAUCCAGAGGAGACUGUCAAAAACUCCAAAAGAUGAGAAGAUUUCUACGUGAGGUGCUGUUUAUUCCCAAUGAAAAAGACUGACC
ensembl:lncRNA